rnacentral:lncRNA from 1 species
CCGCCACCCAGGCCCUUCACUCUUCUACUGAACCACUUUCUUCCAUGUGCACACGCUGAUUUCUCAACCUGGAAUCAUUUCCCUACACCUUUCCUCAAAGGACUGUUAAUGAGUUUUCAGAGCAGGUACUUCACUGAAAUGUAACUACCACAAUGCAUCCUUUCCAUGUGACUAACUUCGCUCAUGGACCAGAAUCACUGUGGCUCUGCCCUGGAGUGGUGCAAAGUGACCAUGGAAACCUAUUGAUAAGGCUCUGGGGUCAGAUUCAUCUCUGUUCAGACAACUCUAGCGGUGUGACUCUGAGCAAGUGUUUUUUAACCUAAGUUCCUGCUUCCUCAACUGCAAAUGUAGGAAUGGUAACAUCUUCCUCAAAGUUGUAUGCUGGGGAUAACACAUGAAGGAGAUGCCUGGGCCAUAUAAUUAUUUAAGAAAUGUUCAUUUCUUUCUUGAACUACCUUCUACCAACUAUUUGGUCUGAGUUUAUGAAACUGUAAAUUUUGUCUAACAUUUGCCUAACAAAGCAUUAUUACCUUGCUUAAAGAAACACACAAUACAUUCUAAACCAAAAAUAAUUUGAAUGUAAUCCAUUAUUUUGGAUUAAUCUAUAUCAUCACUCCCCUCCCUUAGAGAAGACAGGCCAAGAGUUGGUUGCAAUAAUUUUUGAAGUAAAUUGAAGACCUUAUAAUUAACACUUAAGUCGGAGAAGUUAUUAUAUUUUCCAGUGUUUCAGUAUUUACAGUCCAAAAUAGUGUUCAUCCUCAGAAUAUAAAGCCCUUUUACCUUUAAUGAUAUAUCAAAUGCAUUGGCAAAUACAGCUGUUGUUAGUAAAUUCCUAUUUAACAGAUGGGCAAGAUGAGGUAGUGAGAUUAAAUGACUAGCCCAUGGCUAAUAUGUGAUUAGAAAGACAAAUUUAAUCAUAGUUGC